UUCCAUGGCUACCCUUGACUUACACAGCAUCCAGUUUUGUCCCAUUGAAAGCAUGUCCUUGGAUUGAAGUAAAGCCAUUGUUGUAUAGUUUCCUACAAUCAACAGAGAGGAGGAAUCAGUGACCUAUAAGAAGUGAGGGUUGGUCUUCAUUUCUGCAGAAUCAGAAAUGUGCAUGAAGGUUCUCAGGUCCCAUAAGAAAACUUUACAGUAUGUUUUGCUUCAGACAUAGAAUAUUUCCCAGUUUGAAUCCCCAUUUUCCAGACAGCUCCUAGUAACUUCAAGCUGUUUCUCAGAAAAGCAAUGACAUGCCACUGGAUGGAUCCUCCCCUGGAGUGGGAAGCUGAGCAGACUAAAUGAUGGAUGAUAGCAAGGCAGUAGAGUGCACGGCAGGUUGGAAUAAAGCCAUCCCCCCAGAGUGAGUCUGGACAAGAGCUGAGGAUGGCAGUGCCCCUGGAUCAGCAGCCUGGGUGCCCGAGUGACUGCAUGGAGAAGCACUGACCUGCGCACCUGUCACUCCACCAGUACUGUCCCAUGAGCAAGAAAUAACUUUCAGUUACCUUAGGGCUGUUACAGAUUUUUAUUUUUGUCUAUUUCUUACGGUUGUUAAA